rnacentral:rRNA from 1 species
CAAUAGCGUAUAUUUAAGUUGUUGCAGUUAAAAAGCUCGUAGUUGGAUUUCGGUUAAGAGCGACCGGUCCGCCGUUUGGUGUGCACUGGUUGGUUUUAACUUCCUGCAGAGGACGUGCUCUGGGUUUAACGACCUGGACUCGGAGUCUACGUGGUUACUUUGAAAAAAUUAGAGUGUUCAAAGCGGGCUUACGCUUGAAUAUUUCAGCAUGGAAUAACACUAUAGGACUCCUGUCCUAUUUCGUUGGUCUCGGGACGGGAGUAAUGAUUAAGAGGAACAGUUGGGGGCAUUCGUAUUUCAUUGUCAGAGGUGAAAUUCUUGGAUUUAUGAAAGACGAACUUCUGCGAAAGCAUUUGCCAAGGAUGUUUUCAUUA